CCUACGGGAGGCAGCAGUGGGGAAUAUUGCACAAUGGGGGAAACCCUGAUGCAGCGACGCCGCGGGAGUGAAGAAGUAUUUCGGAAUGUAAAGCUCUAUCAGCAGGGAAGAAAAUGACGGUACCUGAUUAAGAAGCCACGGCUAACUACGUGCCAGCAGCCGCGGUAAUACGUAGGGGGCAAGCGUUAUCCGGAUGUAUUGGGUGUAACGGGAGCGUAGGCAGCAUGUCAAGCGUGCUGUGAAAUGUCCGGGCGCAACCCGGGCCUUGCAGCGCGAAGUGGCGUGCUUGAGUGCGCGGCAAGCAGGCGGAAUUCGUCGUGUAGCGGUGAAAUGCGUAGAUAUGACGAAGAACCCCGAUUGCGAAGGCAGCUUGCUGCAGCGGAACUGACGCUGAUGCUCGAAAGCGCGGGUAUCGAACAGGAUUAGAUACCCGAGUAGUC
rnacentral:rRNA from 1 species